rnacentral:rRNA from 1 species
GACGUAGGGGGCAAGCGUUGUCCGGAUUUAUUGGGCGUAAAGAGCUCGUAGGCGGCUCAGAAAGUCGGGUGUGAAACCUCCAGGCUCAACCUGGAGACGCCACCUGAUACUGCUGUGGCUAGAGUCCGGUAGGGGAGCACGGAAUUCCCGGUGUAGCGGUGAAAUGCUUAGAUAUCGGGAGGAACACCAGUGGCGAAGGCGGUGCUCUGGGCCCGGAACUGACGCUGAGGAGCGAAAGCGUGGGUAGCAAACGAGGAU